AGAGUUUGAUCCUGGCUCAGGACGAACGCUGGCGGCGUGCUUAACACAUGCAAGUCGAACGAGAACGCUCCUUCGGGAGUUAGUACAGUGGCGAACGGGUGAGUAACACGUGGGCAACCUGCCCUAGGGAGCGGGACAACCCGAGGAAACUCGGGCUAAUACCGCAUAAUUCGCAGUGCCUCAAGGCUCUGCGGGAAAUGGUAGCUUCGGCCUCCGCCCUAGGAUGGGCCCGCGGCGCAUUAGCUUGUUGGUGUGGGUAACGGCCCACCAAGGCGACGAUGCGUAGCUGGUCUGAGAGGACGAUCAGCCACACUGGGACUGAGACACGGCCCAGACUCCUACGGGAGGCAGCAGUGGGGAAUCUUGCGCAAUGGGCGGAAGCCUGACGCAGCAACGCCGCGUGUGGGAAGACGGCUUUCGGGUUGUAAACCACUUUCAGGGGGGACGAAGCUUCCGAGGUUAAUAGCCUACGGGGUGACGGUACCCCCAGAAGAAGCCCCGGCUAACUACGUGCCAGCAGCCGCGGUAAUACGUAGGGGGCGAGCGUUGUCCGGAAUCAUUGGGCGUAAAGCGCGUGUAGGCGGCUUGAUAAGUCUGGUGUGAAAUCUUGGGGGCUCAACCCCAAACCUGCACUGGAUACUGUCAAGCUUGAGUCCGGGAGGGGAGAGCGGAAUUCCUAGUGUAGCGGUGAAAUGCGCAGAUA
rnacentral:rRNA from 1 species